UGCCUAAGCCGUGGCAUGCUUUUGAAACUCACUAUUUUAAUCAAACAAAGUGAACUGGCAGAAUGUUACUAUUACCAUAUGUGUUCUUUGACUAUCAUACAUAAGGAAUUUAUUAACUAAGCUACAACAAGAUGUUCAGUUCUACAUAAUCAAACGCCUACAUGAUACUAAUAGAUGAAGCUAACUAAUGUACAUACACAACAAAAUUCAAAAUAUAACUAAGAUAAAUUCAAAACUCCAACUUUUCGUUUCAUAUUCAUGCUUCAGUUUUUAUUCUACAGGAACCAAUGUAUCAAUUUGUGUACCUGGUAUUUGGAAGGCAAGGAAAAAGAGGAGAUCAGUGAUAGCAGCAGUAUGCACACACAGCAACAACAGUUCCAGCAACAACUGCAAUAAACAAAUAUCAAACAAUAGCAAGAAUCCCAGGAAAGUUUUGAAAACAAGCAGGAACAACCCAGGAACUUUCAAACCCAACAGAAAAUGCAAGAAAUACCACACUAAAAGACCCAGUAAUACCCGAAAUGCCUUCACAGUCGAAGUAAAAAAUGAGGCAGAAACAAGAAAGCAGUAUUUCUAAUUGUGAGCACUUAAAGAAACAAACUGAAACUCUUGAAGUAAAGCUCAGCCAAACACUCACUUAAGUUUUGGAAUCCUAAUGCGCAAAUUUCAGUCUUAAGAUAUUAAGUUCUGAUAUUAUGCCUUCAAAAAUCUGUUAUAACUCACUCCUCAAAUCUGAAAUUCUCAAAGUCUCCUCCUUUCUUAAACUUAUUUCUCUCUAUUUAUAGGCCAACAUUUUCUAUUCAAAACUUUUCUUUUCAGCGUGUAUAUUCCCUCCCCAUGUGCAUUUAUACCCCUUUAUCAUUCAACCCUUAAUGUUUCUGAUUUCCAAUUAGGAAAGGUAUUUAAAAGAAAUGUCAGCUUUUAAUUCUUUAUUAAGACCCCAUGUUAUUUGUGAUUUCCAACUAGUAAACCACUUAUUUUGUUUUUUAAUCCCAAAAGUAUAUGGCCAGCUUGAAUAUUAAAUUCAGGCGUGCCUGGCAAUACAUGGUCUUCACUCAACCCCCUAACCCUAUGUUUACUAGUCUAAAACUACCUCUAUAUAAGCUUAGAUUUAAAACUGAUUUUAGGUUAAGCUUACAGAUUACUUACAACUAUAUCCAAUUCAUACUAAGAGCAAUCACUUAUUCAACUCAAUCAAAUCACAGAAGUGGUGUUGAUCAGAUGGCCUGAGUUGAUCAUAUUGGGAGCCAAUCCUUACCAACUCAAAGCCAAAUGAGCAAAAAAGGCAACAACUAUUAAAGGCUCAGAUCAAAGCAGAAAUGAACAUGCUUGUUGAUACAAGUCUCAACACAUGACAAGAGAAGCAUGCUAGAAAUUAACUGGAAUGAACAAUUCAUGAUUCUCUAGUUUUUUCAGUGCAUUCAGUUGACAACAUUCAAUUAAUUGACUAUAUGAACUGCAACAGAUAGCUAACAAUCGAUAAUCAAAAUACAUCAAGCAUGUUAGAGGAUUUCAGUGACUUCAGCAAAUAACCUAAUGUGAACUAACUAUUUUGACGAUUUAAUCAAGCUAAACACCUUCUUAAUCACAACAGGUACGACUAAUAAAGAAAUAGAAGAAAUGACAAAAUAAAAGGUAUUAUGGAGAUGGACAGAAUUGAAAGAAAAAUAACUUAAAAAUCAAACAAAAUAACUAAAAAUGCAAACAAACACAAAUAGAACACAAACAAGAGCAGAAGGAGAAGAAUAAAAUACCUUAGAAGCUUAGAAAAGAGACGACCCCUGUUCAAAUUGGACCUGAUCUCUUUGAGUUCGAACGAACUUUAAUCGAACCUUUCUCACCCGAGAACACCUCGAUUAAGGUCUAUUAGACCCCAACAAUUUGAUAAUUAGGAUAGACUCUCAUGGAUUUGUGUUCUAGGGUUCAAACAUUCGAUUUAGGGCUUGAAGGUUUCUGGUUUGAUUCGGACCAAACCAUCGUUUGUAAAGAUAUGAGGGAGGUCAAGGGAUAGGUUAGGGUUUUGCUCGAAUCUUUAAAUGAAGAUUCCAGACGAUGGGCAUUGAUUCAAGGUAAAAGGCUUGUGGAUACGUAAUCAGAGUGUGAAGGUGGUUCUAUGGUGUUAAGAUGGUGGUCGGCGGCGUAGUUGCCGCCGGGUUUCAGGCGAAUGGGAGCUAUGGCGGCUAGGGUUUACAGGUCUCGUCUCUGAGUUGAGAGAGACGAAGUGGGAGGGGUGUGCUUGGUUAUGGGGGACGAGGGGUGAGAGACAGAGGCUUAUAUAGGGGGUAGGGGGAUUUGAUCCUGGUCGUUGGAUCAAGAAUGAUCGACGGCCAAGUUCUUUCACUUGGGUGAAACGAUGUUGUAUAAUUCCAGUGAGACUGGGUUGGUUUCUAGGGUUAAGUGGGUCGGGUAUCUGGGAAAGCCUCAAGUCGUUGGGUUAGAUGGGAUGAACAACUUAGAUCAAUUGUAAUCAUGCGGUAUCGUUUGGAUUAAUGAAAGAACUAAACUGUACAGUUAGAUUUGACUGAUUAACGGUCCAUAUUAAAAGCAUCCAAACGACGUAGUUUGGGGGACGUUUGGGGGACGGUUUAGAGACCUGGUCCUAGACUAGGUUAUUGCACACAUUGAGCCUUAUCUUUUGGUUUAAUAAUGAAGACCAACUCCAACAUUUUCUUAAAUUUUUUGCACUCUUUUCCUUCUUUUAGUUAACCAAACUAACAAAAAUCCGAAUAAAAAUGUAAAAUAAAAAUAAAACUACAAAAUAUUAAUUAACACUUACAACAAGUAACACACACAUUAAAUCAUUCAAUUAAGAUAAAAUCACCUAGUGACAAAAAAAAUAGAAUAAAAAGGCAUAUUUUGUGAUUUUAUUUUUAACAACCAAAUUGUGGUUCAAUUAAAUCCUAAAUGCAUAAUUAAAUCCUAAAUAUGCAUGCAACAUGUAUUUUUUUUCUUUUUUGUAUUUUUUAAUUAACCACAACAAGGUAAACAUUUACGGACGAAACAAUUAAAAAAAUGUCACACAAAUUCUCAAAAAUUGUACCCGAAUGUAACUUGUUUUAUUUUUUGAUUUCUUUUUGAGUAAUAUCUGUGAAGCAAAAAUCACGUGCUCACAAGUUUCACCAAGACUUUCACUACUACAUUCGGCGGUGCAUCUACUAAGAGUUCCCAUGAUUAUCUAGACAAUUGUCAUGACGUUCUCAGGGACAUUGGGAUCGUGGAGACCAAUGAGGUAGAUUUUGCUACAUUUUGCUUGUCUGGAUCUGCCGAGACCUGUUGGAAAUAUUAUUGGUUGGCUAUACUUCUAGGUCAUCAACUUCGACUUUGGAGCAAUUAUCAGAGUUUUUUCUGGAGAAGUUUCUCCCCGUUACUCAAAGAGAAGCCUAUUGGAGGAAGUUCGAGCGUCUCCAGGUUCUAUGAAUGGUACUCAGUACGAAACCUGAUUCAUCGACUUGGAUCGUCAUGCUCAUACCAUGCUUCCCACUGUGAGAGAGAGUGAGGAGGUUCAUUGAAGGACUCGUCCAGCCCGCUCAGUUUGUUGGGGGUAGAGGUAGAUGUAUUAGAGGUGGAGGUAGAAAUGGUAGAGGUUGAGGGGAAGGCAUUAGAGGUGGAGGUGCAGGUACUAUUCUGGUUCGUAGCAGAGAAGCUUCGGUUUAUUGUUUUGCCGCAUCUGGUCAUGCAUAGUAGUUCUUUGAGUGCCCCUGUUAAUGUGUCUAUGCCGGUGGGUGAUUUUACUGUGGUGGAUCGUGUCUAUUGAUCAUGUAUAGUUGUGAUUGGAGGUCUUGAGACUCGUGUAUAUUUGUUUCUCUUGGACAUAGUCGACUUUGAUCUUAUAUUGGGGAUGGAUUGGUUAUCACCUUACCAUGCUAUCUUGGAUUGUCAUGCCAAGGCUGUGACCUUAGCUUUACCAAGUUUGCACCUUUAGAGUGGAGAGGGAUUCCAGGUCAUUCUACCCGCUAUGUUAUCACGUAUGUGAAGGCUCGACAUAUGGUCGAGAAGGGGUUUUUGGCUUAUUUAGAUUAUGUUCGUGAUUCCAGUGCUGAGGUUCCCUCUAUUGAUUCUGUGCCCAUGGUUCACGAGUUUCCUAAGGUUUUCCCUUCAGACCUGACGUGUACGCCACCUCACAGGGAUAUUUAUUUUUGCAUUGAUUUGUCUCCGGGCACAUAGCCCAUCUCUAUUCCUCCAUAUCGCAUGGACCCACAAGAGUUGAAAGAGUUGAAGGAGCAGUUGCAAGACUUGCUUUAGAAGUUUCAUUAAGCACAGUGUGUCACCAUGGGGUGCGCCGGUGUUGUUCAUAAAGAAGAAGGAUGGUUCGAUGAGAAUGUGCAUUGAUUACCGGCAAUUGAACAAGGUUACAAUCAAGAAUAAGUAUCCACUGUCGAGGAUUGAUGAUUUAUUUGAUAAAUUUUAAGGUGCCAAGGUAUUUUCAAAGAUAGACUUGAGAAUUGGCUGACAUCAAUUGAAGUUUAGGGCAUCCGAUGUCCCUAUGAUAGCUUUCCAAACUUGGUACGGACAUUAUAAAUUCUUGGUCAUGUCUUUUGGCUUAACAAAUGCCCCAACAGCUUUUAUGUAUCUGAUGAACCAUGUUUAGGGCUUAUUUAGACUUGUUCGUGAUAGUCUUCAUUGAUGACAUAUUGAAAUACUCCCUUAUCCAGGAGGAGCAUGAGCAGCAUCUCAGAGUGGCUCUUCAGACUCUGAAAGAUAGUCAGUUCUACGCAAAAUUUAAAAGUGUGAGUUUUGGUUGAGUUCAAAUACUUUCCUGGGUCAUUUUGUUAUGGCGGAGGGUAUUCAGGUUGAUCCAAAAAAGAAUGAGACAGUCAAGAACUGGCCUAGACCAACAUCAGCUACAGAGAUCCGGAGUUUCUUAGGAUUGGCAGGUUACUACGGUUUGUGGAGGGAUUUUCAUCUAUUACAACCUCGAUGACAAGAAUGACCCAGAAUGGUGCCCAUUUCAAAUGGCCGUACGAAUAUAAUGCGAGCUUUCAGAGGCUUAACACAUCUUUGAGUACGACACGGAUAUUAGUUUUGCCCGCAGGUUUAUGACCUUAUAUAGUCUAUUAUGAUGCUUCCCGUAUUGGAUUUGGCGCAAUGUUAAUGUAGGAUGUCAAGAUCAUUGCCUAUGCUUCGAGGCAGUUGAAGAUUCAUGGGAAAAACUAUCAUGUGCAUAAUUUGGAGGUAACAGCCAUUGUUCACGCAUUGAAAAUUUGGAGGCAUUAUUUGUAUGGCAUGGCAUGUGAAGUGUUCACUGAUGACAAGAGUCUUCAGUACUUGUUUAUGCAAAAGGAAUUGAAUUUGAAGCAGAGGAGUUGGUUGGAACUAUUGAAGGAUUAUGACAUCACUAUUUUAUAUCACCCAAGAAAAGCCAAUGUGGUGGCAGAUGCUUUGAGUAGGAAGUCAACCAGUAUGGGCAGUCUUGCUUAUAUUCCAGUCAGUCAGAGGCCACUUGUUUUGGAUGUUCAUGCUUUAGCCAACCGAUUUGUGAAGUUGGAUAUUUCUAAGCCUAGUUGGGUAUUAAUUUGCACUAUCUCUCGUUCUUCACUAUUGGAGUAUAUCCGUGAUCGGUAGUUUGUGUUUCCCGUUUAUGUGUCCUUAAAGACAUGGUGCAACGAGGACGUGCCAAACAGGUUAAAUUAGAUACUGAUGGAGUUUUAAGAUUUCGAGGGCGAGUUUGUGUGCCAAAUGUUGAUGGGCUUCGAGAAUUGAUUUUAGAGAAGGCCCACAGUUCCCCGGUAGUCUAUUCAUCCAGGCACCGCAAAGAUGUAUCAGGAUUUGCGGCAACAUUAUUGGUGAGCGUAGAAUUAAGAAGGAUAUUGUGGGAUAUGUGGCACGGUGUUUGAAUUUUAGUAGGUUAAGUAUGAGCAAAAGAGGCCUGGUGGAUUAUUUUAGGGGAUUGAGCUUCCCCAGUGGAAGUGGGAGUGUAUCACUUUACUGGACUCUCGUUGACUAGGAAGACGUUUGAUACGGUUUGGGUCAUUGUUGAUAGGUUGACCAAGUCGUCGUAUUUCAUUCCUGUGGCAUUCUCUUAUUCAUCCGAGAGGUUAGCUGAGAUUUAUAUCCAGGAGAUUGUUCGCCUUCAUGAGGUGCCGAUAUCUAUCAUCUCGGAUCAAAGUACGUAGUUUACCUCGCAUUUUUGGAAAGUAGUUCAGCGAGAGUUAGGCACCCAGGUGCAGUUGAGUACAACAUUUUAUCAUCAGACGGACGGGCAAUCCGAGCGGACCAUUCAGAUAUUGAAGGAUAUGCUCCAAGCUUGUGUUAUUGACUUUGGAGAUUCGUGGGAUCAAUUCUUGCCCUUAGCAAUGUUUGCCUACAACAACGGCUACCACAUAAGUACCAAGAUGGCUUCUUAUGAGGCUUUAUAUGGUAGGAGGUGUCGAUCUCCGGUUGGAUGGAUGGAGCCGGGAGAGACUCGGCUGUUGGGUAUAGAAUUGGUGCAGGAGGCCUUAGAAAAUGUUAGAAUCAUUCAGGAUAGGCUUCAUACAGCUCAGUCCAGGAAAAAGAGCUAUGUAGAUCGUAAGGUUCGAGAUGUAGAUUUCAUGGUUGGUGAGCGAGUAUUGCUCCGAGUGUCGCCUAUGAAGGGCAUGAUGAAGGGAAAUCUUAGCCCUAGGUUCAUUAAUCCGUAUAAGAUUCUUGAGUUAGUUGGAGAUGUGGCUUAUAGACUUGCAUUGCCUCAAAACUUAUCAGCAGUGCAUCCAGUUUCUUAUGUGUCCACGCUUCGAAAAUAUCACGGCGAUCCAGCCCACGUGCUAGACUUUCAACACUAUCCAGUUGGAUAAGGACUUGUCUUACGAGGAGGAGCCGUUGGCUAUUUUAGACCGGUAGGUUUGUCAAUUGAGAUCCAAUAGUUUUCCUUCUAUUCGUAGUCAGUAGAGAGAUCAGCCUCUUGAGGCUUCGACCUGGGAGCCUGAUUCCGAUAUGCGGAGCCGUUAUCCUCAUUUAUUCCGCGACUCACGUACUUCUUUCUUCUGUCCGUUCGGGGACAUACAGUUGUUUUAGAGGUGAAGAAUGUGACGACCCAAAGGGGUCAUCACUUAUUAUCUUAUCCAUUCCGAGCUUUCGAGGUCUUGAAAACCAUAUUUAUAGUCGCCUCGAUUUGCAUGCACAUUUGAGGCGCGUAGCCGGAAGCUCAAAUAUGAAAUUAUGUGAAAGUUUUGUAAUUUUUAAUAUUAAAAUGAAUAAAUUAGACUUCGGUCAACAUUUUAAGUAAACUGACCCGGACCUGUAAUUUGACAGACCUGGAAGGUCCGUGGAAAAAUAUGGGACUUGGGCGUAUGCCCGGAACCGAAUUUCGAGGUCCCAGGCUGGAGAAAUGAUUUUUUGAGUAAAAUUGUUUUCCAAAAAUAUUUAAGGAAAAUAAAAAUGAAAUUUGAUUAAAAGUGAUGGUAUCGGGCCUGUAUUAUUAUUUCCGCCGCCCGGUACAGGUCUUAUAUGUGGUUUAAGCGCUUUCAGUAAAAUAUGGUUGAAAAUAGACGUCAUUUGACGUGUUUCGGAUUUAAAGUCCUAAAAAAGUUUAUGAAAUUUGGAAGAAAUCAUGGAUUUUAAGACUUAAUUCAUUAUUUUUGAUGUUAUUUUUGCGAGUUGAUCACACAGUUAUGUUCGUAGGAUGUUUUUGAGUUAGUAUACAUGUUUGGUUUGGAGCCUCGAGGGCUCGGGUGAGUUUUAGAUAGGUGUCGGAGUGCUUUUGACUUAAGAAAUGCAGCAGAAAUAACUCUUGGCUGUUUUCCAGAUCCUUCUAUACGAUCGCUUUCUACCCUCCACGAUAGCAUUGAAUAAUGUCUCAACAAUAUUUUUCCUUCUACGCGAUCGCGUGUAUCCUUGCACGAUCGGAAUGCCAAAAAAUCUCACACUACGCUAUCGCAUACUUGCUCCCGCGAUAGCAGUGCACCUCGUACCUUAACCUAUGCGAUCGCAAUCCCUUCUUCGCGAUCGCAUAGAGUAAAUUCUGUCCAGUUCUUUAAAGUCCCAAAAAAACAGAACGUUUACGGGAUCUUCACAAUAUUUCACAAACCCUAUCUUAUUCAAAGCUCUUGGACGAUCCUUGGAGCAUUUCUUCACCAAAGUUUCUUUAGUAAGUGUUUUUAAUUCGUUUUCUUUAUUUUCCAUCAAUAUCUUUGAUUUCCUGGGCCUAAAACAUAUGAAAAUAGGUAGAAAUUAGAGAAAUGGGUAGGUUAGAGCUUUUUGAAUUUCCUUGAAUUAGACCUCGUUUUGGGGUCAAAUUUGCAAGCAAAUUAUAUAUUCAGACUCGUUGGGUGAUAGGAAUUUAGUUCGAACCUCCUGUUUUGAACAAGUGGGCCCAAAGUCGAUUUGUGAAAGAAUGUUUAGAAAAUUAUAUUUAGGCAUUUGAAUUGGAUUGUUGAGCAUUUAUUGAUGAUAUUAAAUCAAUUGUGUAUGGAUACGAUUGAAUUGGAGCCAAAUUUGAAAGGAAAAGUGGUGCUUAAGGAUUGAGUUGGCCGUAGAACUAUGAGGUAUGUGUUUGGUAUAACCUUAGCUUGAGGGAACAACCUGUCACCUUACAUUUGAACAUUGUGAAUUAAAAUAAACUUCCUAAAGGCUUGCCUACCCAAAUGUGGCCGGCCUAAAUAUGCUACUAGCGAUUAAAUAUAAUAUAAACCGUAAAAUAUUUCUAGUGCUCAGACUUCCUUAUAAUUUUUGGACUCCCAAUCUCCACGGUCUAACAUCGUCUUAGUAUCCAUGCCACUAAUAAAUCUAAUUAAUUUUGUUAACUUAGUUCUACUGUCAUCAAAGUGUUAAUUCUAAAGCUUAUAGUUCAAUUAAGGGAAGUAGUAGAGAAUCAAAAUUUAUUUUAGCCAUUAAACCCAUCCAAGCAGGGAUUAAACCAAUGGUUAAUAACAAAUUCAGUCAACAAACAGUAGAACAUCAUUAAAAUAGAGCAAUGAACAUCCAAACAAAUGGGGAAGUGAUAGAUUAACGAAGUGAUUAAGUACAAACAAUAUGUAAGGGAGGAAGAAAUAAACCUUACUGGCGAAAGUUUCUUCCAGAUUAGAGAAAGUCUAAAUCUACAGUAUUGUCUGGAUGAAGAGCAACAAAAAUUCAACAACCAAAUUGAGUAUUCACGGGAAAAUCAACAUGAGCGCUAAUCGGACCUCGAACACCGACCUAAACCAGCUCCAUCUCAGUAGCGAAACUCAAACCUGACAUCAGAAAUGAGCUGAAAGCCGCCUGAGAUUUGACUAUUUAUAGCAGAAAAUCUUGGGCUUGAGUUUUGAGCAAGAUUUAACAAUUCAAAUUAAUUGUAAAUAGCCCAAAUCUGAACGUUGGGGAUUCAAUUUCAAGUGACUUGGCUAUAUUCUGAAAGGGGUUGUCCUGGGUGACUGGUCCGUUGGUAACAGCUGUGCGAUUUUUUCUGGUGAGUACGUUGGAAAGGGACUAGGGUGCGGUAGCUCAGGUGUAUGGCUGGUCCAACGGGUUAAGGUUGAGGAACAGGUAGUCGUAGUUCGCUGGGGUUAUGAUUUAGGUGGUAUUUCCGGCGAUUUUUGGUUUUUAGCGGUGGUGGUUAUUGAGCUGAAGCUUUUUGACUGCAAAAAUGGCUGAUAGUUUUGUAUUGCAGGGCUGAAGAAGAUGACGAGGAAUGGGGGGAGGAGUCGCUAGGCUGAUGGAAGCUAGCUCGAUAUGGUAGGGCGGAGAUAGGGUCGUUUGGGGUGAAGUGAAAGGAGAGAGCAGGGGUCGUUUGGGGUGAACGGCGCUGGAUUGUUUAAUUCACGCUCGGUCUCGUUAGGGGUGUGGGGAAUACUGCGCUUUAUUUUUAAAGAAGAAGAA
rnacentral:lncRNA from 1 species